rnacentral:rRNA from 1 species
GACGAACGCUGGCGGCAUGCCUAACACAUGCAAGUCGAGGGGCUCUUUCGGGAGUCACUGGCGCACGGGUGAGUAACACGUAGGUAAUCUGCCCCCAUCUCUGACACAACAGUUCUAACGGGCUGCUAAUAUCAGAUGAGGAGCUUCGGCUUCAAAGAGCGAUUGGAUGGGGAUGAGCCUGCGUCUGAUUAGGUAGUUGGUGAGGUAAUGGCUCACCAAGCCUUCGAUCAGUAGCUGGUCUGAGAGGACGAACAGCCACACUGGAACUGAGACACGGUCCAGACUCCUACGGGAGGCAGCAGUGAGGAAUAUUGGUCAAUGGGGUUACCCCUGAACCAGCAAUGCCGCGUGUGGGAUGACAGCGCUCUGCGUUGUAAACCACUGUCGGACGGGACGAGAAGAGGCAGAAGCCUCCGGGACGGUACCGUCAAAGGAAGGGUCGGCUAACUACGUG